CAGUCGCCACGGGAAUACGUAGGGUGCAAGCGUUAAUCGGAAUUACUGGGCGUAAAGCGUGCGCAGGCGGUUAUAUAAGUCAGAUGUGAAAUCCCCGGGCUCAACCUGGGAACUGCAUUUGAGACUGUAUGGCUAGAGUGUGUCAGAGGGGGGUAGAAUUCCACGUGUAGCAGUGAAAUGCGUAGAGAUGUGGAGGAAUACCGAUGGCGAAGGCAGCCCCCUGGGCCAAUACUGACGCUCAUGCACGAAAGCGUGGGGAGCAAACAGGAUUAGAUACCCGCGUAGUCCCUGUCUCUUAUAC
rnacentral:rRNA from 1 species